AUGGCGGACUACGGUGGAGAGUACGGGCACCCGUACCCGCGCGUCGACGAGUACGGCAACCCAGUGCCGCCGGUCGACCAGUACGGCAACCCCAUCCCAAGGGAACCGGGCCAGGUUCCGGCGUACACCUCGGGGGGCGCCGCUCCGCCCUACAGCUCUGACGGCGCGGGCGCGGUGACGUCGGCCGACUAUGGAGCGGGUGUCACGCCGGGCUACGGCCUGAGCGGCGCCGUGCACCCGCAGGAGAGCGUGGUAGGCGGUGCCGUUUUCCCGUCCGGCACGGCGCACACGCACGAGGGCGCGCUAAGCGGCAGCCUCGCCCCUGGCGAGACCACGGCAUACGCUUAUGAGGGCAUGGUCGGCAGUGGCAUCGGCACCGGCGACCAGAUCCAGCCCACCAAAGAGGGGCACACGACGCUGGGCGAGACUUUGCGGCGCUCCUCCAGCUCUAGCUCCAGCUCGUCGUCCGAGGAUGACGGGCAAGGCGGGAGGCAGAGGAAGAAGAAGAGCAUGAAGGCGAAGAUAAAGGAGAAACUCCCGGGCAGCCACAAGCAGGAGGAGCACAAGGCCGGGCACACGGUGCCACCGGCUGGGACGGGGACGCACGAGAAGAUCAAGGAGAAGCUCCCUGGACACCACUGA
rnacentral:rRNA from 1 species